rnacentral:rRNA from 2 species
UUGGAUCCAGACUUUGAUUAUGGCUCAGGAUAAACGCUGGCGGCGCACAUAAGACAUGCAAGUCGAACGGACUUAACUCAUUCUUUUAGUUUGAGAGCGGUUAGUGGCGGACUGGUGAGUAACACGUAAGCAACCUGCCUAUCAGGGGGGAAUAACAGUGAGAAAUCAUUGCUAAUACCGCAUAUGCUAACAGUAUCGCAUGAUACAGUUAGGAAAGGAGCUAUCCGCUGAUAGAUGGGCUUGCGUCUGAUUAGUUAGUUGGUGGGGUAACGGCCUACCAAGACUACGAUCAGUAGCCGGGCUGAGAGGUUGAACGGCCACAUUGGGACUGAGAUACGGCCCAGACUCCUACGGGAGGCAGCAGUCGGGAAUAUUGCGCAAUGGAGGAAACUCUGACGCAGUGACGCCGCGUAUAGGAAGAAGGUUUUCGGAUUGUAAACUAUUGUCGUUAGGGAAGAUAAAAGACUGUACCUAAGGAGGAAGCCCCGGCUAACUAUGUGCCAGCAGCCGCGGUAAUACAUAGGGGGCAAGCGUUAUCCGGAAUCAUUGGGUGUAAAGGGUGCGUAGACGGAGAAACAAGUUGGUUGUGAAAUCCCUCGGCUCAACUGAGGAACUGCAACCAAAACUAUUUCCCUUGAGUGUCGGAGAGGAAAGUGGAAUUCCUAGUGUAGCGGUGAAAUGCGUAGAUAUUAGGAGGAACACCAGUGGCGGAGGCGACUUUCUGGACGAUAACUGACGUUGAGGCACGAAAGUGUGGGGAGCAAACAGGAUUAGAUACCCUGGUAGUCCACACUGUAAACGAUGGAUACUAGGUGUAGGGUGUAUUAAGCACUCUGUGCCGCCGCUAACGCAUUAAGUAUCCCACCUGGGGAGUACGACCGCAAGGUUGCAACUCAAAUGAAUUGACGGA